AGCAUAUCAAUAAGCGGAGGAAAAGAAACCAACAGGGAUUGCCCUAGUAACGGCGAGUGAAGCGGCAACAGCUCAAAUUUGAAAUCUGGCCCUCGGGUCCGAGUUGUAAUUUGUAGAGGAUGCUUUUGGUGCAGUGCCUUCCGAGUUCCUUGGAACAGGACGCCUUAGAGGGUGAGAGCCCCGUACGGUUGGACACUAAGCCUCUGUAAAGCUCCUUCGACGAGUCGAGUAGUUUGGGAAUGCUGCUCUAAAUGGGAGGUAAAUUUCUUCUAAAGCUAAAUACCGGCCAGAGACCGAUAGCGCACAAGUAGAGUGAUCGAAAGAUGAAAAGUACUUUGAAAAGAGGGUUAAAUAGCACGUGAAAUUGUUGAAAGGGAAGCGUUUAUGACCAGACCUUUGCUAGGCGGAUCAUCCGGUGUUCUUCACCGGUGCACUUCGCUUAGCUUAGGCCAGCAUCGAUUUCUGUAGGGGGAUAAAGGCCAUGGGAACGUAGCUCUCUUCGGGGAGUGUUAUAGCCCUAGGUGUAAUACCCUUACGGGGAUCGAGGUUCGCGCUUCUGCAAGGAUGCUGGCGUAAUGGUCAUCAACGACCCGUCUUGAAACACGGACCAAGGAGUCGAACAUUUAUGCGAGUGUUUGGGUGUUAAACCCUCACGCGUAAUGAAAGUGAACGGAGGUGAGAGCCCGUAAGGGUGCAUCAUCGACCGAUCCUGAUGUCUUCGGAUGGAUUUGAGUAAGAGCAUAACUGUUCGGACCCGAAAGAUGGUGAACUAUGCGUGGAUAGGGUGAAGCCAGAGGAAACUCUGGUGGAGGCUCGCAGCGGUUCUGACGUGCAAAUCGAUCGUCAAAUCUGCGCAUGGGGGGCGAAAGACUUAUCGAACCAUCUAGUAGCUGGUUACCGCCGA
rnacentral:rRNA from 1 species